rnacentral:rRNA from 1 species
GUGGGUAAUCUUGCGCAAUGGGCGAAAGCCUGACGCAGCCAUGCCGCGUGAAUGAUGAAGGUCUUAGGAUUGUAAAAUUCUUUCACCGGGGACGAUAAUGACGGUACCCGGAGAAGAAGCCCCGGCUAACUUCGUGCCAGCAGCCGCGGUAAUACGAAGGGGGCUAGCGUUGCUCGGAAUUACUGGGCGUAAAGGGCGCGUAGGCGGACAGUUUAGUCAGAGGUGAAAGCCCAGGGCUCAACCUUGGAAUUGCCUUUGAUACUGGCUGUCUUGAGUACGGGAGAGGUGAGUGGAACUCCGAGUGUAGAGGUGAAAUUCGUAGAUAUUCGGAAGAACACCAGUGGCGAAGGCGACUCACUGGCCCGUUACUGACGCUGAGGCGCGAAAGCGUGGGGAGCAAACAGGAUUAGAUACCCGGGUAGUCC